rnacentral:misc_RNA from 1 species
AAGGAGUCUAACAUCUAUGCGAGUGUUUGGGUGUUAAGCCCGAGCGCGUAAUGAAAGUGAACGGAGGUGGGAACCCUCUUGGGUGCACCAUCGACCGAUCCUGAUGUCUUCGGAAGGAUUUGAGUAAGAGCAUGGCUGUUGGGACCCGAAAGAUGGUGAACUAUGCUUGAAUAGGGUGAAGCCAGAGGAAACUCUGGUGGAGGCUCGCAGCGGUUCUGACGUGCAAAUCGAUCGUCAAAUUUGGGUAUAGGGGCGAAAGACUAAUCGAACUAUCUAGUAGCUGGUUCCUGC